ACGUAGGGGGCAAGCGUUGUCCGGAUUCAUUGGGCGUAAAGAGCUCGUAGGCGGUUCGAUAAGUCGGGUGUGAAACCUCCAGGCUCAACCUGGAGACGCCACCCGAUACUGUUGUGACUAGAGUCCAGUAGGGGAGCGUGGAAUUCCUGGUGUAGCGGUGAAAUGCGCAGAUAUCAGGAGGAACACCAGCGGCGAAGGCGGCGCUCUGGGCUGGAACUGACGCUGAGGAGCGAAAGCGUGGGGAGCGAACAGGAUUAGAUACCCUGGUAGUCCACGCCGUAAACGUUGGGUACUAGGUGUGGGGUCUUAUCAACGGAUUCCGUGCCGAAGCUAACGCAUUAAGUACCCCGCCUGGGGAGUACGGCCGCAAGGCUA
rnacentral:rRNA from 1 species